rnacentral:rRNA from 1 species
GCCUGAUGCAGCAACGCCGCGUGAGGGACGACGGCCUUCGGGUUGUAAACCUCUUUUAGCAGGGAAGAAGCGAAAGUGACGGUACCUGCAGAAAAAGCACCGGCUAACUACGUGCCAGCAGCCGCGGUAAUACGUAGGGUGCAAGCGUUAUCCGGAAUUAUUGGGCGUAAAGAGCUCGUAGGCGGUUUGUCGCGUCUGCUGUGAAAACCCGAGGCUCAACCUCGGGCCUGCAGUGGGUACGGGCAGACUAGAGUGCGGUAGGGGAGAUUGGAAUUCCUGGUGUAGCGGUGGAAUGCGCAGAUAUCAGGAGGAACACCGAUGGCGAAGGCAGAUCUCUGGGCCGUAACUGACGCUGAGGAGCGAAAGGGUGGGGAGCAAACAGGCUUAGAUACCCUGGUAGUCCACCCCGUAAACGUUGGGAACUAGUUGUGGGGUCCAUUCCACGGAUUCCGUGACGCAGCUAACGCAUUAAGUUCCCCGCCUGGGGAGUACGGCCGCAAGGCUAAAACUCAAAGGAAUUGACGGGGACCCGCACAAGCGGCGGAGCAUGCGGAUUAAUUCGAUGCAACGCGAAGAACCUUACCAAGGCUUGACAUAUACGAGAACGCUGCAGAAAUGUAGAACUCUUUGGACACUCGU